rnacentral:rRNA from 1 species
GACGAACCGUGCGAACGUUAUUCGGAAUCACUGGGCUUAAAGCGCGUGUAGGCGGAUGGGAACGUCGGCCACUGAAAGCCCCCGGCUCAACCGGGGAAGCGGUGCCGGGACGGCCCGUCUGGAGGGGCGUAGGGGGACCUGGAACUUCCGGUGGAGCGGUGAAAUGCGUUGAGAUCGGAAGGAACGCCCGUGGCGAAAGCGAGGUCCUGGACGUCAUCUGACGCUGAGACGCGAAAGCUAGGGGAGCGAACGGG